AAACUCAAAGGAAUUGACGGGGACCCGCACAAGCAGCGGAGCGUGUGGUUUAAUUCGAUGCUACACGAAGAACCUUACCAGGGUUUGACAUGCAAGUGGUAGGAAACUGAAAAGGGACCGACCUUCGGGGAGCUUGCACAGGUGCUGCAUGGCUGUCGUCAGCUCGUGUCGUGAGAUGUUCGGUUAAGUCCGCUAACGAGCGCAACCCUCACUGUGUGUUAUAUGUGUCACACGGGACUGCCGGUUUUAAGCCGGAGGAAGGUGGGAUGACGUCAAGUCAGCAUGGCCUUUAUAUCCUGGGCUACACACACGCUACAAUGGUCGGUACAAUAGGUUGCCAAGCCGCGAGGCGGAGCCAAUCCAAAAAAGCCGGCCUCAGUUCAGAUUGUAGGCUGCAACUCGCCUGCAUGAAGAUGGAGUUGCUAGUAACCGCAGGUCAGCAAUACUGCGGUGAAUACGUUCCCGGGUCUU
rnacentral:rRNA from 1 species